GACGAACCGUGCAAACGUUGUUCGGAAUCACUGGGCUUAAAGGGCGCGUAGGCGGGCUUCCAAGUCGGUGGUGAAAUCUUUCGGCUCAACCGGAAAACAGCCGCCGAUACUGGGAGUCUCGAGGGAGGUAGGGGUCGAUGGAACUUCAGGUGGAGCGGUGAAAUGCGUAGAUAUCUGAAGGAACGCCGGUGGCGAAAGCGAUCGACUGGACCUCUUCUGACGCUGAGGCGCGAAAGCCAGGGGAGCAAACGGG
rnacentral:rRNA from 1 species